rnacentral:miRNA from 1 species
UGCUGUAGACAGAGUGCAGAGA